GGCUUAAUGGGUUUUCAAGGGGGUCGGGGACAUGAUGGGACCCCUGGAUCAACGGGGUCUCCCGGAAGAAAUGGAAUCAAUGGACAGCCAGGUUUUCCAGGGCUGCCGGGUUUCCCUGGCAAGCCUGGCCCAGA